UACGUAGGGGGCUAGCGUUGUCCGGAUUUAUUGGGCGUAAAGAGCGUGUAGGCGGCUCGGUAAGUCCGCUGUGAAAGUCCAGGGCUCAACCCUGGAAUGCCGGUGGAUACUGUCGGGCUAGAGUCCGGAAGAGGCGAGUGGAACUCCUGGUGUAGCGGUGAAAUGCGCAGAUAUCAGGAAGAACACCAAUAGCGAAGGCAGCUCGCUGGGACGGUACUGACGCUGAGACGCGAAAGCGUGGGGAGCGAACAGG
rnacentral:rRNA from 1 species